UUAUUACCUAAAAGUUUUUGUGAAUCAAUAAUUCAAGAGCAGCUUCGGUGGGCUUAGAAUCGCUCAUGAGUUGCAGUCAAGAUGCCAGCUGGGGCUGCAGUUGUCUGAAGGUUCUGUUUGGGCUGGCGGAUCUGUUUCUAACAUGGGUCACUCACACGGCCACUGACAGGAAGUCUUAGCUCUUCAUCACAGUCACAUGGGCAUCUCCAUGGAGCUAUGUGGUAUGUGCUCACAACAUGGCAGCUGGCUUGUACUAGAGGAAGUGAUAGAAGAGAGAUAAACAUGGAGGAAGUACACAAUUUUUUAUGACCUAGUCUAUAAUUUAAACACCAUUGUUUCAUUGUAUUCAUUAGAUGGGAAUCACUAAAUCCAACACAUAGUCAAAAGGAGGAAAGAAACGAGCAUGAGAAAAUUUGUGAAUAUAUUUUAAAACAACCACAACUAGAAUUCAUAAUGUGAGUAUCCCUUAAUGUAGAAAGGGUGUUUUACAGAUGAUAAGUAGGCAUGGUUAUGACAGAUGAUGAAACUACAGAUAUCAAAAGGAAAGUGACUUUGGAUUUGGGGGCUGAGUUUCAAUGGAUCUCCUUGAUCUCCUAUAGGCAUUCCCAAAUGGUAGCCAUGAACCUCUUGCAAGUGGCUAGACUAUCUACUAAGUAAGUGGUAAGGGUGAAUGGGAAGUGUAGAUAUUGCAGCCCAAGAAGUGAACAAAGUAGACAUACCAAUGGAAUCCAUAACUUAUUCCCCUUGCAGGAUAAAGUAUAGCUAGUCCAGGGCAUGGGAGAGAUUAUUAAUGGAGAGCCAGCCUUGAAAAUUAAAAAUUGUUUUUCUGGCUGGGGGCGGUGGCUCACGCCUGUAAUCCCAGCACUUUUGGGAGGCCCAGGCAGGCGGAUCAUCUGAGGUCAGGAGUUCGAGACCAGCCUGGCUAACAUGGUGAAACUCCGUCUCUACUAAAAAUACAAAAAUUAGCCAGGGGUGGUGGCAGGCGCCUGUAAUGCCAGUUACUCCGGAGGCUGAGGCAGGAGAAUCGCUUGAACUGGGGAGGCGGAGAUUGCAGUGAGCCAGGAUCACACCACUACACUCCAGCCUGGGUGACAAGAGUGAAACUCUAUCUCAAAAAACAAACAAUAACAACAACAACAAAAAACAAAAUCAAAACAAAAACUCUUUUUCCUUAAUCUUUGAGUUAAUUGAUGUCUUCAAGUAUGUGUAUAUACAUAUAUGAAAGGUUUUGUGAAAUCUGUGAUUUUCUUAUCUGGAGAAAGAUGGAGAGAGUAAUAAAAAAUUGAAGUAAACACUGCUUAGUAUGAAGAAAUAAACAUUACACUGACUCACAUUAGGUUUUUAUACUGAGUAUGUUUUGGUUCAUGAUUUGACAUGAAUUAGAAAUAAGUUUUAAUGGAUCACUAAUUCCUGGCUGGAAGAAUGUUUUGACUUCUAAGUGAUAAAGUAUACUCCCUAAGUAAGAUAAAGCUGUUUGAAUCAGUAGAAGUUAGACCUGCCUCCCAUCCCCACCACAUACAAACAUGUACUCUGUUGACUGGCACUUGGGUGAAAUGAGGCAAAAAAUGAUAAACUUCCAUUAUAAGAGAUUGUAAGGCUGUAUUGUAAUAGUCUUUUGGAAGAUGGACCAGUAAAGAGCUAGACAUACUCUUUGGACUUACAAUUGGAGAAGGGGCUCUAGACAACGAAACUUCUGAAGUUUGGGUUACUUAGUUGCUGUCAACAGCUUUAUACACAUCUUGUUCUAAGAUUGCACGAAAUCUAAUCUUGCUCCUUCAGUUCUAUGUAGAAAAGAUAUGUGCACUCUUGAUAUCCUUCAGGAGGCACUAUUAAGAGAUCACUUGUUGUUAUACACAUCCAUCUUGAGGGAAAAAAUGCUUGGUGUAAGAGAAUAUUUUGUUCUGAGACAAUAACAUGGAGAAUGAGGAAAUGGGUAGUUGAUGCCAUUCUUACUGUUCACAUAGUCAAGAAAUAGACUUUCUUUGAGCCCAUGGGUGGCACUAAGAAAAAUCUGGAUCAGCUGGUCCAAAAGCUGUUUUACAUCAAACACAUGUAUAUGCUUAUGCAUAUGUGUGUCUGGCUGGCCGGGUGAAAAUUAUGUGGCUAUAGCAGUCAUGAUUUGAUCCUCAUACCCAAAUGAGCAAACCAAUAUAAAAAUUUCUUAAAUAUUAUGAGGUUGUCAUAUUUACUUAUAACCAGAUAUAAUGCAUAUUACGUCCUUUCUGCUGUGGAAAAGAUUUACUCUAUACAUGUCUUUGUGAUGAGGCUGUCUGCUAAAAACUAAAAAUAAAAAUGGUAUGGGGAAUCCACUCAAAGGAAAAAGCAAGUAUUGGGUAUGAAUGCUUAGAAUCCAGAUGAAAUGUUGCAGAUUUUAAAAUUAAAUGUAUAUGAAUUUAUAAAUAAAAUAAAGGUCAUAGCUAUUUAAAUCUGUAUUUUUAAGUAAUAUAAAAAAUAAUUCUUCUCUUUGAUCUACCGUACCCCAAAAAUUACCAAAAGUUUUUAAUAUUCACUUAUGUAAUUUAUAUAAGCUGCCAACUUUGAACUUUCACAUGUGCUAUAAAAAUUUCUGGGUUUUGUUAUUACUGUUGUUUUGAUAAAGGAGAUAUAUUUUCUGUAAUCUAGCUAAACAAAGACUUUUAAUUUUAACCAGUAGAUGGCAGAAUAACAUUAGCCCCUGGAAAGCAGUUGCUCUGAGACUGUUACAGAGGAACGACCUAUUCUGUGUACUAGUGCAUUUGGCUCAGGUACACAAUUCAACAGUUAUGUGUUCAGUCAUCCUUAAUGAAUAUCUAAGUCUUUUAUUCUAAUCAUCAUCCAGCCAUUCAAAUAUAUGCUCAACAAUUGAAUACUAGAGGAUGCAGAUAAAGUAUCAAAAUUAAGGUGGGAAGAAUCUUUAAAAAUCCAUUUAAAAGUAUUUUAAUGGAAGGUCUAAUGUGGUCCUAUUAGGAAGCAAAUAAUAGUAUCAUGCUGAGAUGACUAUUUCUGGCCUAUUUUCUGUCACUUAUUAAUUCUAGAAAUAUACUUACUGUCCAAAAGGUAUGAAACUUGAAAGAUCAUUUUACUACUUUUGCCAAAUUGCAUUCUAAACUGUAAACCAAUUGACAAUGCACUCAGCAAUAUGUAAGAGUCCUUUCUAACCCAACAGUUGAAAACAAUUAAAAAACAGACUCUUUUUCAGUAUUUGACAUGAGAAAAAUUAAAUUAUCAUCUCAAUAAAUUUGACUAAAUAAAUGAAGAAAUGGGUAGUUAAUGACACACUGAUCACACAGCGAAGAAAUAGCCUUUCUUUCAGCCCAUGGAUGGUACUAAGAAAAAUUUGGAUCAGCUGGUACAGAAAUCAUUUGUAAUGAAGAUACACAACCCUAAUUUUUUAAGACUCCUAAUUAAUGAGGAACUUCGUGAACAAGAUCAAGGAUAUUUCCUUGUAACAAAGGAAUCCUAAAACUAGAAUUACCCCUAUUAAAAUUACGCAUAAGACACAAUUCCUCGGUCACUACUAUAAUUUUGCUGGAAGUAUGAACCAUGCUUUAAUGUUUCACAUUAAACUAAUAAUAUGAAAUUGGCUUUUAUAAUAUGCAGAUAAUGGUUAGUUAAGGUGAAAAUAUGAGAAUUGACCCAAAAAACUGAAGAAUCAAUGAGAGUCGGUAGACAGAAAACCAUUAUGCUAAAACCACAUAUUUCCUACUUCUACCAAGAGUUCAGAAUAUAACAUAACGAAAUCCCAUUCAAAGCAGAAAUACACAAACACACACACACACACACGUAUAUAUCAAAGACAACUUAACUUGAAAAAAGAUCAUUGGAAGUGAAGAAAAAUACUCUAAAUUGAUUGACUAUAAGAUUUUAUGAUUUUUUUUAAAGCAUAAAAAUUCAGCAAGGAAAUGAAGAUAUUCAAAAAGUGGUUAUGGAAAAAUUAGGUAAUUUGAAAAAUACAUUAGAUUUUAUGCCAAAAGUUUGGUAGAAAGUUGUAUCAAUAAUAACAACAUAAAAUACUGGGAUAAUUAUGCCACCUAAUGAUAAAAAAAUUAUUCAAGAAAGCAUUAAAAUGACAAAAAAACUAAUUGUGCUACGUUACAAAGGAAAAACACUUGAUUUCUUUGCUCACAGAACACAAGUGGGCAAAUACUUGCUGUAAAUAGAGAAUAAAGAUUAAUCUUAAUAUAGCCAGUUGCAGUGGCUCACACCUGUAAUUCUAGCCCUUUGGGAGGCUGAAAUAGGAGGAUCACUGGAGACCAGGAGUUCAAGAACAGCCUGGUCAACAUAGCGAGACCCCAUCUCAAAAAAAAAUGAAUGAUUAAUCUCAAUAUAAAAAGGUAAGUUUAUUAAUUUUAAGGAAAAUCUCAUUCUCAUUUUAACUAGAAAGAAAAGCUACUUGAACAGGAGACAAGCAGUAAAUGCCACCCUAACAUGUCAAGAACUAGUAAUCACAAAGCUAUAGAGCUAUAGUAUCAAGAACAAGUAAUACCACAUCAGUACUAUAUAACAACCACCACCACCACCACACACACACACACCCCAAAUUAAAAAAAACAAAAAUAUCACCGAAAGGUCAACAUACAAAAAAGACGAACAUACUUGAUCAUAUUAAAUUGAAUAAAAAAGUAGAGUAUAAAAAAGUAUUUAUAGCAAAUAGGACAAUUAAAGCAAAAGACAGGAGCAAAUGAUUUAUGAAAAAUACACAUGCUCAAUAAACAAGAAAUUAUAACUAGUAAUUAAAGAUAUGUAAAUCCAAACAGUGAAAUAACUAGAACUGCAAAGAUUUCCUUUGAAAUAGUUACUGAACACAGUUCUGCUAAAAAUGCAUAUGGUAUAAUCCUGGAAAUAUUUUUUAAGACCCUAAAAAAGCUAACACUACAUGAUUCCGAUUUUACUUAGCAUUUAUCAUAGGGUAGUAGCUAUGGGCAAAGUUUUAUGUAAGAAUAUUACAUCUUGCUUUAUUAUGGUGAAAAUUUAUGGUAGACAUUUAAAUAUCUACACAUAAGGAAAUGGAAUAAUUUGGCAUGUUCAUGGAAUGAAAUAUUGUAUAGACGCUGAACACUUUCAAAGAACAAUAGCCUGAAAAUCAUUAAGCUGAAGCAAAAGUCAAAAAUUAUAAAAUCCCAACUUUGUUAGUAACAACUAUCAUUCACUGCUUUUGUGCAUAUCUUAUGCUAAUCGCUUUAUAUUAUUUCCUUACAAAUCUGAUAUAAAUAGAAUUAUUAAUGAUCACACCCAACCUGAUAGAUGUAUGACAAAGCUGAAGUUUUAGAGAGUUAAACUUACCCCACAAUCUUUCGGCAGUUGUUUAUAAUCGGUUGAGCUGGGGAUGGCACAUUUAUGUAGUUUUAAAAUGUCCUGUAGGAGCUUACUGCCUUUAUAGUGAGAACAAAAUAAUUUUGAUUACAAAAAUCUGAACAUGAGUGAAAUGUGUUUGCUUUGCAGGCCAACUACAUAAAUAUUACUGUAAGCAAGUGGGAAAGAAAUUUAAGUCUGGAUUUAUCUGAAUAAAAAUGGAAUCUGUUUUUCUAAAUACAUGUGCAUUUGAUAAUUAGAAAAAAACACCUUAUGAUUUUUUAAUAUAUACAGCUUUUUAAAAAAUAAGAGAAAGUCAUGAUAAUAGGAGUCUUUGGAAGGUGGAUUUAUUUUCAUUAUCCAGCUUUUAGCCUAAGGUCUGGCAUACUUGAA
rnacentral:lncRNA from 10 species